rfam:Equus caballus chromosome 2, whole genome shotgun sequence.
AGAUGUGAGUGGGAACUCUUCUUGACUCUUGUCACCCCAAUGCUCUCCAUGGUGGAACUGGAUGAACUGGCUGGCCACACUGGUGUCACUUUCUUCAAAGUUUCAUUCUUAUCAUACUCAGUCAAAGAGGGAAGCAUUUCCAGAGAGAGGAGGGCUGUUCUGUCAAGAUUAUUGAGUGGCUAGUUUCCCCAACCAGAAAUUCCUAGUAAGUUCGACAGAUCCAUUUGAAGACCCUAACAGAGUCAAGCCUAACAGCAACAAUAACAGAAAAGGAAAUAUAUAAUUGUGUGUGACCUGUUU